rnacentral:lncRNA from 1 species
CUUCUUCAGAUCUUCUUUCUCUUGAGAAAAAAAGAGAAAAAAAUUAGAUUAGAUCAGAUUUUUUGAUCCUUCUAAAGAUAUUUUUGAUUUUUUUAAGAAAAAAAUCAAAAGAGAUCAAAGAUUCAACAAUCCAAAGAGAGAUCUUUGCAAGAAAACUAGUACUCCAGUGAGAUCAGGAUCUCCUGAUCAAAUUAGCUUCGUGUGGAUACCUGUAG